AUCUUCCAUUGCCACCUAUAUUGGUUGCUCGAACUAAAGAUACGGAAGACUCAAAUUCGAAGUUUGGGUGUUGGAAAUUUAAGGCUUUCCUAUAAAGUAAUGCUUCAAGAUGGAGGCAAGAGACUUGGUUGUAGAUAUAUACAUGAGCAACUUAAUUUAAGUUUAUGUAUAUUGUCUUAUAGUGUGUUUUUAA